UACGGAGGGGGCUAGCGUUGUUCGGAAUUACUGGGCGUAAAGCGCACGUAGGCGGAUCAGUCAGUUAGAGGUGAAAGCCCAGUGCUCAACACUGGAACUGCCUUUAAGACUGCAUCGCUUGAAUCCAGGAGAGGUGAGUGGAAUUCCGAGUGUAGAGGUGAAAUUCGUAGAUAUUCGGAAGAACACCAGUGGCGAAGGCGGCUCACUGGACUGGUAUUGACGCUGAGGUGCGAAAGCGUGGGGAGCAAACAGG
rnacentral:rRNA from 1 species